UGUCUGAAUAUGGGGGGACCAUCCUCCAAGGCUAAAUACUCCUGACUGACCGAUAGUGAACCAGUACCGUGAGGGAAAGGCGAAAAGAACCCCGGCGAGGGGAGUGAAAAAGAACCUGAAACCGUGUACGUACAAGCAGUGGGAGCACCUUCGGGUGUGACUGCGUACCUUUUGUAUAAUGGGUCAGCGACUUAUAUUCUGUAGCAAGGUUAACCGUAUAGGGGAGCCGCAGGGAAACCGAGUCUUAACUGGGCGUUAAGUUGCAGGGUAUAGACCCGAAACCCGGUGAUCUAGCCAUGGGCAGGUUGAAGGUUGGGUAACACUAACUGGAGGACCGAACCGACUAAUGUUGAAAAAUUAGCGGAUGACUUGUGGCUGGGGGUGAAAGGCCAAUCAAACCGGGAGAUAGCUGGUU
rnacentral:rRNA from 1 species